rnacentral:lncRNA from 10 species
AUUUUCUGACAUUUGAAAAGAUCUGAAGAUACGCCCCUUGGAUGCCUGCAGAGAAGCUCUGGGGCUUCAGUCAAUGACUCAGGGUAGCCACCGAACAUGAUGCUCGGGCAGUGGGUGCCACCUGGACUCCACUCUCCCCUCUCUCUGGGAUCAUAGAGUCCAAGGUGUUCUGUGGCCUCUCGGCCAAUCCCAGCAGCUCAGCGUGCAGAAGACCGAGGAGCCAUUGGAAUUCAACACAACACGAAAUAAUCAACAAAUUCGGGGAAUGUUAAUCUGACCAUCACCAGUUACAAAUGAUGUUUCAUGCUACCUUCUAUUCCUGCCUUCAUAAAUCAAGGAAAAGAAAAAGAGAACAUAUAUCCCCCUACCUUUUGAUUUCCAACAGUCUACUGAGAGGCCAAGAUUAUUUGCAGGGAAAGAAAAGGGGUCAAAAUGUUUUGCCAGUAACUCCCAAAUCAUCUACAGCCAAGGAGAAAAGUGUUUCAAGACAGAGGUGCUCAAUGGUAUCAAAUACUGCCAACAGACCAAGUAAUACAUGCAUUGAAGUGUCUACUGGAUCUAGCUAUAUGAAUUUUUAAUUUAGGACACUUAGGCCAUACUGAAGCAAGGUGACAAAAUGAAUAGCUACAAUGUCUCGUGAAUCUUGGGUUUCCAUUCACCCUGGUAUUCAAGAGAAAUUCUUGCAUCAUGGAAGUUGCAGUUGGAUAGGACUUUCUCAGCUGAACACUGUCAUCUGCCAGAGCUUCAGGCAAGAACCCAGAACAGAUGAAACCCCAGACAUGACAAAAUAAGCCAAAGAAUACCAGGCCAAGGUGUGAAAGGCCAGAUGAGAACAAGCAGCGUACACGAUUCUGUUGCCAACAGAUCUCCCCUAACAGUGUCGUGCACCAAAUUUCCACAGUGAAUGUCAGGAAAAAAUGGCAAUUGAGGUGGGUGGUCAAAAGAGAAGCACAGUCUAUGAUGAAGUCACCCCAGAGAAGUCCUUUUUCCGUUUUCUCCUGAGAAAUUACCAGAAGAAAUUAAAAUCCUUUUGAGUAUUGCA